ensembl:lncRNA novel transcript
CGCCGUGCCCCCCUCUGACCCCCUGCGCCAGGCCAACCGCCUGCCAAUCAAGGUGCUGAAGAUGCUGACGGCACGAACUGGCCACAUUUUGCACCCCGAGUACCUGCAGCCCCUGCCUUCCACGCCGGUCAGCCCCAUCGAGGAGGAGGAUUGACACCAGCCACACGUAUGUCUGCUGCUGACAAAUGUGCGCACGCCUUGGAGGGCGGGGCCAGGCAGGACAGAGCCGCCCAUGACAGGGGGACACCUCCUGUUCUAGAAUUCUUGGACUGAUUAUCCAUCUUGACAAAGGAGGCCUUGAAUCAAAUUUAAUCUGGUUUAGUGCACUUAUCAAAGAGACAUCGGAGAGAUCCCUUGUGCCUUCUGCCAUGUGAGUUAUAGUGAGAAGACAGCCAUCUACUAGGAAUCAGACCGUCAUCAGACACCAAAUCUGCCAGCACCUUGAUCUUAGAUUUCCCAGACUCCAGAACUGUUAGAAAUAAAUUUCUGUUGUUUAUAAGCC